rnacentral:rRNA from 1 species
AUACGAAGGGGGCUAGCGUUGUUCGGAAUUACUGGGCGUAAAGCGCGUGUAGGCGGAUCGUUAAGUCAGGGGUGAAAGCCCGGGGCUCAACCCCGGAACUGCCCUUGAUACUGGCGAUCUAGAGUCCGGAAGAGGUGGGCGGAAUUCCCGGUGUAGAGGUGAAAUUCGUAGAUAUCGGGAGGAACACCAGUGGCGAAGGCGGCUCACUGGUCCGGUACUGACGCUGAGACGCGAAAGCGUGGGGAGCAAACAGGAUUAGAUACCCCAGUAGUCC